UAAUACGUAGGUGGCAAGCGUUGUCCGGAAUUAUUGGGCGUAAAGCGCGCGCAGGCGGCUAUGUAAGUCUGGUGUUAAAGCCCGGGGCUCAACCCCGGUACGCACCCGAAACUGCGUAGCUUGAGUGCAGGAGAGGAAAGCGGUAUUCCACGUGUAGCGGUGAAAUGCGUAGAGAUGUGGAGGAACACCAGUGGCGAAGGCGGCUUUCUGGCCUGUAACUGACGCUGAGGCGCGAAAGCGUGGGGAGCAAACAGGAUUAGAUACCCUGGUAGUCCACGCCGUAAACGAUGAGUGCUAGGUGUUGGGGGUUUCAAUACCCUCAGUGCCGCAGCUAACGCAAUAAGCACUCCGCCUGGGGAGUACGCUCGCAAGAGUGAA
rnacentral:rRNA from 1 species